rnacentral:rRNA from 1 species
UACCAGCACCCCGAGUGGUCGGGACGAUUAUUGGGCCUAAAGCAUCCGUAGCUUGUUCUGCAAGUCUUCCGUUAAAUCCACCUGCUCAACAGAUGGGCUGCGGGAGAGUACUACAGGGCUAGGAGGCGGGGAGAGGCAAGCGGUACUCAGUGGGUAGGGGUAAAAUCCUCUGAUCCACUGAAGACCACCAGUGGCGAAGGCGGC